UGGGGAAUUUUGGACAAUGGGGGAAACCCUGAUCCAGCCAUCCCGCGUGUGCGAUGAAGGCCUUCGGGUUGUAAAGCACUUUUGGCAGGAAAGAAACGUCAUGGGUUAAUACCCCGUGAAACUGACGGUACCUGCAGAAUAAGCACCGGCUAACUACGUGCCAGCAGCCGCGGUAAUACGUAGGGUGCAAGCGUUAAUCGGAAUUACUGGGCGUAAAGCGUCCGCAGGCGGUUCGGAAAGAAAGAUGUGAAAUCCCAGAGCUCAACUUUGGAACUGCAUUUUUAACUACCGGGCUAGAGUGUGUCAGAGGGAGGUGGAAUUCCGCGUGUAGCAGUGAAAUGCGUAGAUAUGCGGAGGAACACCGAUGUCGAAGGCAGCCUACUGGGAUAACACUGACGCUGAUGCACGAAAGCGUGGGGAGCAAACAGG
rnacentral:rRNA from 1 species